rnacentral:lncRNA from 1 species
GCGGCGGGGCCGGGAGGGUCAGCACAUUGUGAGCCGGCAAGGGGACGCGGAACAGCCGGGCGGCGCGCGGCCACCGGGCACGGAAUCCGCUGUCGCCACCACUCCGCCGCCGCAGCCCGAUGCCCUGGACAUCAUUCCGAACAGCACAAUUCAAGGGUGGCUGAAACAACAAAAAUGUAACGUCUUACAGAUCUGAAGGCUUCCGGGUCGAUUCUGGACUGUGAUGAGAAUCUGUGCCAAGCCUCUCUCCUGGCUUCUGGUAGACUCGGGCAUUCCUUAGCUUGUAAAUGGCUGCUGCUUGUGUCAUCACAUUGUCUUCCCUUUCUACUUAUCUGUCCCCAUGCCCCAAUUUUUCCUUUUCAGGACACCAGUCAGAUUAGGACCCACCCUAAUGAUCUCAUCUUAACUUGAUUAACUACAAGGACCCUAUUUUUAAGUACACAUUUACAGAGACUGGGGGGUAGGACUUCAACAUCUUUUUGGAGGGAUGCAGUUCAACCCAUAACAAGAAUCAUUGUUAGAAAUGAUUUUGCUUCUUCACUGAAAAAUUAAUAUCAUUCUGCAGAGAACUGACUUGCUGCACAUGGCACAGAUUUUUUGCAUUUAUCAUAGUAAAAGAAAUCAGUCACAAAAGUUUGUUUUAGACUGCUACAUACCUAUCACAAAUACAAAUUAUUUCCAACAUCAAAAGUUAAUAAAGCAAGCACUGUCACCCAAAUUAUAUUGUAUCUAUUGAGCACUCCCUUAUGUACAGAAGAGGAAAAUGAGAAAUGAACAGGAAGUUUAACAUUCAUAAAAACUGUUGGCUGGGCGCGGUGGGUCACUCCUGUAAUCCCAGCACUUUGGGAGACCGAGGUGGGUGGAUCACCUGAUAUCAGGAGUUCAAUACCAGCUGGCCAACA